UGUACAAAUUGGUUGAGAGGAAGCUGUGUUGGUUUUUAAUGAUAGUAAAUAUUCUGCUGAUGAUGAUAACACUUCUUGCCAUGUUUCCUGACUUGAAAGCCGAAGAGGUGCCUUAAAACCCUUACCCAGUGGAUUCCGGGAAUUAAGGAUGUCAAAAAGUCGGUCGAUAAUGCGAAUAAAUGUCACUGUCCCAUUACUGCCAGAGAAAUUUGGUUGUUUAGCGGAUUUGUCUAAAAACUCAAUAGCAUUUGCCACAGAGGAGCUCAAUGUUUGUGCAGCAAGUCGCACAUUCAUUUUGUGUUUGUGAAAGUUAAGGUGAUUACUCGUAAGUUUGUUUGUUAGGUUUAAUCCUUCUUCCAUUUGUAGGUUUUGAAGUUGUUCUAUGUAACUCCACUUUAUAAUGUUUUCCUUGCCAUCCUUAAAAGAACCAAGUUGGGCCAGUGCAUUGCGUGCAAGCUUUAACAUAUGGCAAGGGUCAAGAAUUACAAACACAUCUUCGCCAGUAGUUGGAUGGGUAAAUGAAGACCGCAUUUCAUCAUAUGUACCGUUAAAGUUGCAACCAAGACUUUCAAAUGUAUGAAUAUUUACAGCAGUACCAUCAGCUGUUACAGACCAUACCUUUAAACCUGCCUUUGAUGCUUUUUCAUCAAAGAUGGAUUGGGUAGUGGAACAAUGGAUCGAACAUAUUUAUAAGCUUUUGGAGAAUAAAAAUAUAAAAUGUUUUGGAGUUUUUUUUGGGUGGAGAAGUUUCAUCAACGGAAUCAGAGGUAGCUGCAAAAGGUCUUUUAUUUGAAAGCUCGAGUCUAUUCAGCAGUGCGUUUGAGUGGGUUGUAGAAGUUGAAACAUUUUGAACAUGCAAGCUAUUGGACAUGGAUGGUAUGGCAUACUUUUUUAGUCGGCAUUUGCCAUUUUGUGAGGGGGGGACAAUGUAGUCAGUUAGUUGAAAAUGGUCACUGCAUAUCUGAUGUGCACUUUUGCUGUCCAUGGUACUUCAAGAUGGUUUACUUGUUGAACAAAAUGCUCCCAUAAUUUUAUGGCUGCCUUGUUUUUCAUGGGAAAUCUGUAAUACAUAUAAAUAUUCAUGAUCUAGUAUUUUAAAUAUUAUACUUCCAGUAAUUUCACUACAAAUCCUUGUCCAGUUAAAUAAAGUUGUAAGCCCUGUACUAACAAUAUGAUACCAGUUAUAUCUACUUUACACUUUUACUGUGAAAAGUAUUAUUUUAUUGCAAUUGUGACCAGCUGAAACAAAUAAAUACUGUAUAUGACUAAACUGUCAAAAUAUAGAAUUUAUAUAUGUUAGUAUUUAACUGAAUUUUAUUAAAAUUUCAUUUU